UCCCUGAUGGCUCAGAUGGUACAGAACCUGCCUGCAAUGCAGGGGACCCAGGUUUGAUCCCUGGGUCAGGGAA
rnacentral:tRNA from 1 species